UUGCAUACUAUUUUGGAUGAGAACAUUUUUGGUGGUCAAGUGCUAGAAACAAGUUCUGCAGAAGUUAUGAAGGUUGUUGAAGAAAUAUCAAGGUUGGAAACAACCUCAAAUACUAUCACACUUGUCCCUAAGUCCAUUUCUGGUUGGCGAAGUUGAUAGCAUGCAUGAAUAGAAGUCAUUGGAUGCUCUAGUGAUGGACUUGUUUUUCAUUACCUCAGAUAAGUUGAUGGCUCAUAGAUGUGCAGUAUGGGUAGUUCCC